CAAAAAGAGGAAGAAGGCAGAAAGAGGACCAUGUCUCUGUGGUGAAGAGAUGGGGUGAUGGCAGCCUGCUCUCUCCUCCUGCACAGGGACUAGCGAUGGACUUGAUGCGCCUGCCUCUUCCCUCCCUGUGACACCCAUUCCCCCAUCCUCACCUGAGACCACAAUGUGUUGUGUUUGGCACCCAAGCCUUCUGGUUUCCGGACUAUUAUUUGGAAGAAGUAUAGGCAGAUUCCACUACAUGGUUACCAGUCUGAGUGUCUGGAAGAGCAUAUUUGAAACUUGGGGAUCCUCUUGAGUCUUCAGGAUCCCUGGAUAAGCGGCUCCAAACUCCACAGAGAAGCAGCUGGUCUCCUUCACUGAGAAAUCCCUCAGAUCCUCUUCUCUGUGGAUUUCAAAAGACAGGCCAUCUCCUCCCAUUUCAAUACACAUUUCUCACUUGAUUCUAGAACUUUCUUGUGCACUUCAGUCUUAGCUUCUCCCAGAACCCAACCUAAGGUUAAUUGGAGCUUUAGUGGUCAGUGGGGUUUUCCCAGAAGCAGCCCUACAACAAGAAUGUUGAAGAUAAACAUUUGAUUUGGGAGGUGAUCCCGGGAAGUAAUGGUAUAAAGACCAGGACUGAUCAUGUGACCACCGUGGGCGACUAAGGCUCCAGUGCUGCAGACUCUGGGGCAAUGCCUGAGUUAUUCCUCUAAGGGGUGAGGGGGUAGCCACAUGUGUUAUCAUCCACUGUUGCACACAAUUUGGAUACCCCUGGACGGCCACAUCUGCAUGUGGGUGAGGUGAGCUCAGGAGAAGAGACACAGGUGCUGGCAGCCAAAGUGAGUUCAUGCUCCCUGAUGUGGCAUGGCCUGAGGGCAUGGGUAGGCACUGCCAGCAGCUUCUACACCUUCUGGGGGAGGAACACAGCCUAUCUAAGGCUGGAAUAGAUUGUUCAAACUGUUCCAUGUGGCAGGAGCCAGGGCUGCAAUAGAAAAGAAGAUUCCAAAAGGCUCUCUAGAGAAGGCUGGGCAAACAGAGCUGGAUGCGAAGUGAGAGAAGGUUUAUUAUAACUCAGCACAAGCCCAUCCCAUCCACAUUCCAGGCAAAUCCACCCCAUAGAGACAGGUUGUCCUGCCAUGCGGCCGAGCCACAGCAGGCCUCUGGGCGCCAAGAGCCUGGGCUGGAGCAUAGAGGAUGUGGAGCCCCACUCUGUAGGUUCUGGGACUCCUGAGUUUGUUUCGGCCCCCACAGAGCUGUCCUGGCUAUGGUUCCCAGAGAGCCUCACUGCAUAAGGCUGCCCUUUUUCUUUUCUUCCUGUGAAUAGCACCAAGCCAUUUUGAAACAAGAAUUCCUUAAAAUAGUUUUUGUUUAAAGAAACAAGAAGCACC
rnacentral:lncRNA from 10 species